rnacentral:rRNA from 1 species
UAUAUCGGAACGUACCCUGGAGUGGGGGAUAACGUAGCGAAAGUUACGCUAAUACCGCAUACGAUCUAAGGAUGAAAGUGGGGGAUCGCAAGACCUCAUGCUCCUGGAGCGGCCGAUAUCUGAUUAGCUAGUUGGUGGGUAAAAGGCCUACCAAGGCAUCGAUCAGUAGCUGGUCUGAGAGGACGACCAGCCACACUGGAACUGAGACACGGUCCAG